rnacentral:rRNA from 1 species
GGGCAGGGUUUAAUGCCAGUCGAACGGGGAAUGCAUUUUCGAGGCGGUUAGUUUACUAAGCGCCAAGAUGCUGGCAUCUUAUUGGCGGACGGGUGAGUAACGCGUGGGUAACCUGCCUUAUACAGGGGGAUAACACUUAGAAAUAGGUGCUAAUACCGCAUAAGCGCACGGGGCUGCAUGGCCCAGUGUGAAAAACUCCGGUGGUAUAAGAUGGACCCGCGUCUGAUUAGCUUGUUGGCGGGGUAACGGCCCACCAAGGCGACGAUCAGUAGCCGGCCUGAGAGGGUGGACGGCCACAUUGGGACUGAGACACGGCCCAAACUCCUACGGGAGGCAGCAGUGGGGAAUAUUGGACAAUGGGGGGAACCCUGAUCCAGCGACGCCGCGUGAGUGAAGAAGUAUUUCGGUAUGUAAAGCUCUAUCAGCAGGGAAGAAAGAAAUGACGGUACCUGACUAAGAAGCCCCGGCUAACUACGUGCCAGCAGCCGCGGUAAUACGUAGGGGGCAAGCGUUAUCCGGAUUUACUGGGUGUAAAGGGAGCGUAGACGGUUAUGCAAGUCUGGAGUGAAAGGCGGGGGCCCAACCCCCGGACUGCUUUGGAAACUGUGUAACUGGAGUGCAGGAGAGGUAAGUGGAAUUCCUAGUGUAGCGGUGAAAUGCGUAGAUAUUAGGAGGAACACCAGUGGCGAAGGCGGCUUACUGGACUGUAACUGACGUUGAGGCUCGAAAGCGUGGGGAGCAAACAGGAUUAGAUACCCUGGUAGUCCACGCCGUAAACGAUGAUCACUAGGUGUCGGUGGGUAUGGGCCCAUCGGUGCCGCAGCAAACGCAUUAAGUGAUCCACCUGGGGAGUACGUUCGCAAGAAUGAAACUCAAAGGAAUUGGACGGGGACCCGCACA